AGUGAACGCUGGCGGUAGGCCUAACACAUGCAAGUCGAACGGCAGCACAGUAAGAGCUUGCUCUUACGGGUGGUGAGUGGCGGACGGGUGAGGAAUACAUCGGAAUCUACUUUUUCGUGGGGGAUAACGUAGGGAAACUUACGCUAAUGCCGCAUACGACCUACGGGUGAAAGCAGGGGAUCUUCGGACCUUGCGCGAUUGAAUGAGCCGAUGUCGGAUUAGCUAGUUGGCGGGGUAAAGGCCCACCAAGGCGACGAUCCGUAGCUGGUCUGAGAGGAUGAUCAGCCACACUGGAACUGAGACACGGUCCAGACUCCUACGGGAGGCAGCAGUGGGGAAUAUUGGACAAUGGGCGCAAGCCUGAUCCAGCCAUACCGCGUGGGUGAAGAAGGCCUUCGGGUUGUAAAGCCCUUUUGUUGGGAAAGAAAAGCAGCAGGUUAAUACCCCGCUGUUCUGACGGUACCCAAAGAAUAAGCACCGGCUAACUUCGUG
rnacentral:rRNA from 1 species